rnacentral:rRNA from 1 species
AUUGAACGCUGGCGGCAUGCCUUACACAUGCAAGUCGAACGGUAACAGGUUAAGCUGACGAGUGGCGAACGGGUGAGUAGUGUAUCGGAACGUGCCCAGUCGUGGGGGAUAACUGCUCGAAAGAGCAGCUAAUACCGCAUACGACCUGAGGGUGAAAGCGGGGGAUCGCAAGACCUCGCGCGAUUGGAGCGGCCGAUAUCAGAUUAGGUAGUUGGUGAGGUAAAGGCUCACCAAGCCGACGAUCUGUAGCUGGUCUGAGAGGACGACCAGCCACACUGGGACUGAGACACGGCCCAGACUCCUACGGGAGGCAGCAGUGGGGAAUUUUGGACAAUGGGCGCAAGCCUGAUCCAGCCAUGCCGCGUGCGGGAAGAAGGCCUUCGGGUUGUAAACCGCUUUUGUCAGGGAAGAAAAGGUUCUGGCUAAUACCUGGGACUCAUGACGGUACCUGAAGAAUAAGCACCGGCUAACUACGUG